rnacentral:tRNA from 1 species
CAAAAAGUAGGUUACACCAAAGCACUUGACCUACAACCAAGAGACGCUAACCCAAAGCCUUUUUGA